GAUUGAGCUACUGACCUUCGCCUCUAC
rnacentral:sRNA from 1 species